rnacentral:tRNA from 1 species
GAGAGAGGCCCGAUGACAUCAAAGACUGCUAAUCUUUGCCCCCAUGGUUAGACCCCAAGGCUCACUCG